ACGGGCACGGUGCGACCCUGCUGCCAGAGCCCGCACCGGGGCGGCGGAGCGCGGCAGUCCCGGCGGCAGAGGGUCGGGAGGCGCGGCGGCAGGGACCGCUUUGUUUCCCCUGCGUGUCCCCAGCGCCGCUGCCGCCGGCCGCGGGGAGGGGGUCCGGGCGUGCCGAAAGCCGCGCUGCGCCCUGGCUGCCUCCGAAACAGCGUUUCUUCCAGGCGGUGCCCGCCGCUCCAUGCUCACAUGCUCGCGUGUUUGUGCGGUUUUCCCUCCCUCUGUAGCGGAACUUGAUUUAAAAAGAAGCAGGCGCGGCUUUAGAGGAAGAAAAGCACUUCUGCGUAAUCCGAUCGAGGGAUCGUAGUUAAUUAGUAAUUUUACAGAACGCUUUGCCAAAGUCGUGUAAUUGCGAGCUUCGCCUUUUAUUUAAGGAGGACAAUUGGUAGUUUUAUACCACGUUUGUAGCGUUUUAUACAUUCAGUUAUGUCUCGGUGAAAUAUAGAUCGAAGAGAAGGGCUGGUAAAAUGCAAAGUUGCGUUUAUACACGGCACUUAGAAUUCGGAUUUAUGCUUUCUAAAAUGUUGUGCUUUUUAAAAAGAAGUAGUAUUAUAGACUCGCUAGUUUAUGGUGGCACUGUGUGCUGUGCUUUUAAUACUCUUGAGCAGGUAUGAACCUCAGCAAGCAUCUCCAUCCAAAAAUGACAAAAAAGCUGGUUGCUGUUUCUUCCCUUGGGAAAUGAAGUCUUGAUUAUUUAGCCUAAUACUAGUGAAGCUCUUUUUGAUUCACAUCCAGUUAUAUCAUGGCUACACUAAAGAUGAAUCAUAUUACUGCAUGAAUAACUUUGGAGUGGAUUAUCUCUUGCAGUUCAUGUAAUGAAUGGCUUAACAUGUCAUCCAAAUGGGCAAAGAGUUGAUGUAUCAGAGACUUGUUUAAAAAGUCAAGAUUUGAUUUCAUGUAACUGAAAUACAUCUGGGUUUUAUAUUUCUCACAUGUGUAAAUAUGAAGAGAGCAAUUCUUAGUGUUUGCCUUCCUACAGCCCUUCCACCUCAUGGCCUCAGGGCAAAGACUGCUUUCCCAGCCUGCCUGGUAUGUGGCAUUAGAUGCUACAGCCAUGUUCUUGCAAACAUAGGCUGCUUCAAGCAAGAAAAAUCUUUUGUGUACACGGGGGUUGACUGGGGUCCUCAAGAAGGUGGCUUAGUGUAAGUAGUAUGUUGAAAACAUAAUUCUCCUUGCAGAUCUUCGACACAACAUACUGCCUUCAGUGCUCACUGCUGCAUGGUUUGCUGUGCUUUGUUUGAGCUGAACAGCAUUUUCAUAAAUGUCCUGCUGCCAUUACAGAAAUAUUUUAUAAGCCAUAUACUGAGUGCAGCAAUACACAAGAAGACUCCAGUCAUGCAGAAAUACAGAUCUGGACAUACCUUGGUGUAUCCUAGUAGCUGAUGGCCUUCCUUGUUUGUCUGUGGAAGACAUGGGUUUACUGGAGGGGAAAAAAAAAAUUAUUCUUUGUGCCCUGCAUUAUGGCUGCUUCAUGAGAGUCUGCACCUGGCUUUGUGAUGGGGGUCCAGCUUUCUAUCUGGGAUGUACCUAGCUCUUUUGUAUAACCCAGGAUUUGGACUCCAGAGCAGAACUUGGUAUAAAGUAAUUUUUACAAUUUCAGCUAUAUUGAAAUGCUUAAAUAAAUUAGUGCAUGAAUCUUAUAAUCCAUGGGUUUUGGUGGAAUCUCCAUAAAGGGAUCUCAGACAGGAAAUUUUCUCCAUGCUUCUCCGUGGUGCUUCUUAGCACCAUCCUUACAGGAACUCUGUUCAAGAAAGGGGCAGGAAUGCUGCUGGAUGCUAUGAGAUGGUCUGCAGAUGGGAGCCAUCUGCACUGGGGUUUCAUGUCUUUGCAGCAGCUAUAGUCUUUCAAAGGCUUGCAUCAUGUGGGAGUGGGAAGGUAUCUGGGGGGUCUGCAGUGUGUAUAAUGAAUAGAGAGUCACUUGUUCAUACAGAAUAUAUCCAUACAGGAGAAUAGAAUAAGAUUGUGUGUUCCUGUCUGUUGGAAAUACAUGCAUGUGGGGGAAUAGCAGCCCCACUCUGCUAGUGAUAAUGUAGGAGCAAAGCACCCAGGAUGGUCUAAGGUUUGGGUAGGGUGCUGAAUUUUGUAGGGAAUAUGAGCUGGCUCAUGUAACUGUAACUCCUUUGUUCAUUUUGUUGGGGAAAACACAUUAACAUUUGCUUUGUUUCCAGUAGUGACCUGCAGUCUUUGUUUUUUGCAAUAUGUGUUUGUGUUAAACUUCUUCAACUUUUGGGGAAGUCAGGAAGCUGCAGACAGCAGAUGGAUAAGAAAGUGCACAGCCUCAGUACAGAGAGGGAGUGUGAAAGGUAGCCUGGCAUUGCCAUCUCAGUUGAGCAUGUUCCUAUAGUCAAGUGGUAUAUGGUAUUAAAUAUUAUUCAUAACUGUUUUAUUACUGCUAAUUGUUUUCAGGGAAGUCUCCAAAUCUCCACCCAGUUUUUUCUGGCCAUAACUGGUGAAUAAUCAAGAAUUUGAUUAUGUGAUGUUCCCUUGAAAAAGCUGGAAAGUACUGCCAAGAAGCUAAGCAAACCACUUUGGCAUUGCCUUCACCUUAAAAUAUGACACAACAAGAAAAGGCAUCAUAUUACCUUUCCUUUUGGGAAUUGUGGCAGAUAUUGGCCCCCUGAGACUUUCCAACACCAAUUCACUGGUUAAUACAUUUGGACUUAUAAAAAAAUGGAUAAGCGAUCUCAUCCUUUGGUUUGGAUCCUUCGGGAUAAUUAGUUUACUCUGUUGGUUAUAGAGUGUAAAGUCAGCUUCAAGAAAAAAUAAAGAGCAAAAAGGACCUUCUGAAGUACAUGUAACAUGAAUGCAGUGUGUUUUGUUCCCUUUUCUUUUUUCCUUAAAGACCAUAUAGCCUCCAUUUCUAAAUGAAUUCCUGAAGUACUGGGAUUACUAAUUCAGCCUCAGGUCUUAAAUCAGUGUGUCUUUUGCCUUUGGCACCUUUGCUGAAGGACAUGAAGUGAGGAUGUGUAUACAGUAUUCAGCUUAAUCUAAUAAAGAAAAGGAAAGCCUCAUGGGUAGAAAAAGCAGCAACUACGUAUUAUGGGGUAACACCUUGUGUUAGGACCAGUUGCAGAAAUAUUUUCUUCAUUGUAUGCUGGCAUUAAGACAUAACUGCUCAUGAGAUUGCAUGCCUGAACUUACAGUAAAUGGAGGAGGUGUGUUCACGGCUGUAUUUUGGAUGUGCAGAGCCAGGAUCUCUAUUACUGUCUUCAGAGAAGUUGUACAGAGGAUGAGAAAGAGAGAAUGUAUCAUUUGGGAAUAAUUUAAAAUAGGUAUGAGCACAAGUCCUGAUUCAUGUGAUUGCGUAUCUGUAUCUGUGGGUUAAAUUGGCCUAUUUUUUUCUUUUUUGAAGGCUUCCCUGCAAACUGGGUGAAGGUUUAUACUCUUGCUAAAAAGUCCUGCUUGUGUCCAUAUUUGUCUGCACAAAAAGAAGGGGAGCAAAGAAUCACAUACACAACUUUCCAGUAAAAAUACACCAUUCCUGUGUUCUUCAGGAUAUCUAGGAGUGAAUCAGGACCCACAGAAAAGUCCAUUUCACCCACGAUCAUCAUCUGAGCUGUAAAAAUGGGACAGAACUUAAGUUUCACUGGUGAUUUUUAUGCACUCUUAAAUUUUUUUUUAAUUGUUAGUGGUACAAGAAAUGUUCAUCUCUGAAAGAGGCUAGAAAACACUUAUUUCUUUUGGCUGUAUUCUUCACAGUGGCUGAAACAAUGGAUACAAUUCCCAAUAUCAACACCAAUUGGAAUGUGCUGCUGUUUUCUGUGAGGUCAUGAUUCUCUCUGUGCUACAAACUGGUCAGUUUUCUUUGUAUGGUCACCUAUUAGUGCGGCUCCCCUGUUUGUGAGCAUGUGUGAAUGGACACAAAUGCAUUUUUCGUAGUGUUGCAGUAUUAGAAAACUUCAUAAUAGCAAUGUCAUGUUAGGAACAGAACCUUGGAGCAUUUAAUUUGUUUUCAAAACACAAGUUCACAUUUCAUUGUUCAGUGUGCAAGCCUGGAAAUGAGAGAAUUGUAUGUAAGUCAUGCUUUGAAACCAAAAUUUUAUUUAUUUUUUUUCUUUUAAUUGUGAAAAAAAAGAGCCUCCGUUUCUGUCAGAUGUGGCAUAGACCGUGGCUUCAAAAUAUACGCUUACCAAUUUUGCAGAUGUGCACUUUUUAUAUUUAUCUUUAGAAAUUAGAAACGCUUUAGAAUAUCAUGCCCUCAUGUGACACCAAUUCCAUAUGCUUAGUAACAAACCAAAUAAAAUUUGAUCUUCCUGAUACUGCAAGAUUUAUUAUACGUAUAUUCUGAUCAGAUUUUCCUGUGAGAAAAUCUGUUAGGAUGAAAAUGUAUUAAAAUUCCACCAGAAGUGCGUGUUUGUAAAGUUUUCUAGUGGAAUAAGAGGAAUCUGAAGCUUUUCUUUAAUGUAAACUGUAAAACAGUCUAUAUGUUCACCUUUGUGGAAGUACACAUGCAUGCAUAUGGUAAAUCUGUCAUUUGUGUUCCAAAAAACUCUAUAGUGGAGAAGGAUAUUAAUAUUUGUUUUCUUCUUUACUAAGGAUGAAAAAUUAUGGGGUGUACGUUAAAAAUAAGAAAUGUGAUUAAUUAAGUGGGUUAAAACUUCUGAUUGUGGUGUUGUGCCUGUAAAGCAUAGAAAACAGGGGAGCAACACAUUACUAGUAAGCUUGGAGUGGGUCAUGAUGCUCUUGCAUUAUUUUGGGAGUGUUUAGAUCUAGAGGAUAAUGUGAAGACAGAAUACAAUGUAUUAUCCUGAAUAUAGAAAUUCUGGAAUAUGCUCUUGGUUCAUACCAGAGGUAAAAAAAUGUUGCAGAAAACCUGUGUGUACCUCCAUGUAAGGAUAAGCAGCAGAGAACCAUGCUGGGGAAAUCCUCACUGUUUUGUGCAGAUAGACUGUGGGACUUGAUGAUCAAAAAAAAGAACAAACUAAGGAGAAAGUGCAAUAUCUGCCCUGGGCUCAUCAGUUAUUUGGACUUGGAUUGUGUUUUCCAUGUCCCAUAAUUCUUGCAAAAAUGAUUUGCUGUUAUAUUCUGCAUUGCCUACUCACAUUUUAAAUGCAAUUAUCAUUUUCAUCACUAAGAGUGUUGCAAACUCUUGCAAUUUUCAUUCAUUAGCCCUUCCUCUUCCCCAUAUGUUUAAGUUUCACAGUCUCUUUUUGGAUACUCUUGUUAGGGAAGAGGUGUAAUAUUCGACAGGCAAAUGGUCAAGCUUGUCUCUGCUGAAGGUGGUGUUUGGCAAGAAGUGGUAGACAGAUUUAUAAACUGAGGAAAUGCAAUAUAACAGCACUCCCUUACAUUUUAACUUACAUUGAAAUUGAUCAGUACUGAUGCCUUUUCAUCUAUCUGCAAGAUACUUUUGUUCUGCAUACUGAAAUAUUGUUAGAUUUUGCUUACAAGGAAAUUGCUUCUGUAAAAUUAAAUGAUGCCAUGAAAUACA